CCUACGGGAGGCAGCAGUAGGGAAUCUUUCACAAUGGGCGAAAGCCUGAUGGAGCAACGCCGCGUGCAGGAUGAAGGCCUUCGGGUUGUAAACUGCUUUUAUAAGCGAGAAAUAUGAUGGUAACUUAUGAAUAAGGAUCGGCUAACUACGUGCCAGCAGCCGCGGUCAUACGUAGGAUCCGAGCAUUAUCCGGAGUGACUGGGUGUAAAGAGUUGCGUAGGUGGCAUAAUAAGUAGCUAGUGAAAUCUGGUGGCUCAACCAUUCAGACUAUUAGCUAAACUGUUAAGCUCGAGACCGUUAGAGGUAGCUGGAAUUUCUGGUGUAGGAGUGAAAUCCGUAGAUAUUAGAAGGAACACCAAUAGCGUAGGCAGGUUGCUGGGACGGUUCUGACACUAAGGCACGAAAGCGUAGGGAGCAAACGGGAUUAGAUACCCGUGUAGUC
rnacentral:rRNA from 1 species